CCCUUAGAUGUUCUGGGCCGCACGCGCGCUACAAUGGCAAACUCAGCGAGUCUCCUUUACCGACAGGUAUAGGAAAUCUUUUCAGUGUUUGCCGUGAUGGGGCUAGACCCUUGCAAUUAUUGGUCUCCAACGAGGAAUUCCUAGUAAACGCAGGUCAUUAACCUGCAUUGAUUACGUCCCUGCCCUUUGUACACACCGCCCGUCGCACCUACCGAUUGAAUGGUCCGGUGAAGUCUCCGGACUGAGUACUUUUAGUACUUGGGAAGUUGACUAAACCUUACUAUUUAGAGGAAGGUGAAGUCGUAACA
rnacentral:rRNA from 1 species